rnacentral:snRNA from 8 species
AUACUUACCUGGUCAGGGAGAUACCGUGAUCAACAAGGCGGUUCACCCAGGGCGAGGCUCAUCAAUUGCACUCCAGCUGUGCUGACCCCUGCGAAUUUCCCAAAUGUGGAAAUCUCGAUUGCAUAAUUUAUGGUAGUGGGGGACUGCGUGCGCGCUCGCCCCUG